rnacentral:rRNA from 1 species
GACAGAGGUGCCAAGCGUUAGGCGGAAUCACUGGGCUUAAAGCGUGUGUAGGCGGAUUGGUAAGUACCUUGUGAAAUCCCAUGGCUCAACCAUGGAACUGCUUGGUAUACUGCCUGUCUUGAGCUACUUAGGGGCAACCGGAACAAAUGGUGGAGCGGUGAAAUGCGUAGAUAUCAUUUGGAACGCCAAUAGUGAAAAUAG